AGUAACCUGCCUUGGAGUGGGGAAUAACAGCUGGAAACAGCUGCUAAUACCGCAUGAAAUGUCUGAAUCGCAUGGUUCUGGACAUCAAAGAUUUAUCGCUCUGAGAUGGACUCGCGUCUGAUUAGCUAGUUGGUGGGGUAACGGCCCACCAAGGCGACGAUCAGUAGCCGGACUGAGAGGUUGGCCGGCCACAUUGGGACUGAGACACGGCCCAGACUCCUACGGGAGGCAGCAG
rnacentral:rRNA from 1 species